GUGCCUCGGGGCGCAGCAGUGAGGAAUAUUGGUCAAUGGGCGGAAGCCUGAACCAGCCAAGUCGCGUGAGGGAAUAAGGCCCUACGGGUCGUAAACCUCUUUUGCCGGGGAGCAAGGGCGGGGACGUGUCCCGGCCCUGAGAGUACCCGGAGAAAAAGCAUCGGCUAACUCCGUGCCAGUAGCCGCGGUAAUACGGAGGAUGCAAGCGUUAUCCGGAUUUAUUGGGUUUAAAGGGUGCGUAGGCGGUCUUUUAAGUCAGCGGUAAAAAUUCGGGGCUCAACCCCGUCCGGCCGUUGAAACUGGGG
rnacentral:rRNA from 1 species